rnacentral:rRNA from 1 species
CCUACAGGUGGCAGCAGUGGGGAAUAUUGCGCAAUGGGCGAAAGCCUGACGCAGCGACGCCGCGUGAGGGAUGAAGGUCUUCGGAUCGUAAACCUCCGUCAGCAGGGAAGAACGGUCACUGUGCUAAUCAGCAGUGAAUUGACGGUACCUGCAAAGGAAGCACCGGCUAACUCCGUGCCAGCAGCCGCGGUAAUACGGAGGUGGCGAGCGUUAAUCGGAAUUACUGGGCGUAAAGCGCGCGUAGGCGGUAUGUCAAGUCAAGGGUGAAAUCCCCGGGCUCAACGUGGGAACUGCCUUGGAAACUGGCAAACUGGAGUGUAGGAGAGGAUAGUGGAAUUCCAGGUGUAGGAGUGAAAUGCGUAGAUAUCUGGAGGAACAUCAGUGGCGAAGGCGACUAUCUGGCACAUAACUGACGCUGAGGAGCGAAAGCGUGGGUAGCAAACAGGAUUAGAUACCCCAGUAGUC